UGGCGGCAGGCCUAACACAUGCAAGUCGAGCGGUAACGAUUUCUAGCUUGCUAGAAGAUGACGAGCGGCGGACGGGUGAGUAACGCGUAGAAAUCUACCUAGUAGUGGGGGAUAGCCCAGAGAAAUUUGGAUUAAUACCGCAUACGCCCUACGGGGGAAAGCGGGGGAUCUUCGGACCUCGUGCUAUUAGAUGAGUCUGCGUCGGAUUAGCUUGUUGGUGAGGUAAUGGCUCACCAAGGCGACGAUCCGUAGCUGGUCUGAGAGGAUGACCAGCCACACUGGAACUGAGACACGGUCCAGACUCCUACGGGAGGCAGCAGUGGGGAAUAUUGCACAAUGGGCGCAAGCCUGAUGCAGCCAUGCCGCGUGAGUGAAGAAGGCCUUAGGGUUGUAAAGCACUUUCAGCAGUGAGGAAAGGGGUGUCGUUAAUAGCGCCAUCCUGUGACGUUAACUGCAGAAGAAGGACCGGCUAACUCCGUG
rnacentral:rRNA from 1 species